rnacentral:rRNA from 1 species
AACGAACGCUGGCGGCAGGCCUAACACAUGCAAGUCGAGCGAGACCUUCGGGUCUAGCGGCGGACGGGUGAGUAACGCGUGGGAACGUGCCCUUUGGUUCGGAAUAGCCCCGGGAAACUGGGAGUAAUACCGGAUAAGCCCUACGGGGGAAAGAUUUAUCGCCAAAGGAUCGGCCCGCGCUGGAUUAGGUAGGUGGUGGGGUAAUGGCCUACCAAGCCGACGGUCCAUAGCUGGUUUGGGGGGAUGCUCAGCCACACUGGGGCUGAGACACGGCCCAGCCUCCGACGGGAGGCAGCAGGGGGGAAUGUUAAACAAUUGGGGAAACCCUGAUCUAGCCAUGCCGGGGGGGCGAUGAAGGCCUUAGGGUUUUAAAGCUCUUUCAGGGGGGAAGAUAAUGACUGUACCCACAGAAGAAGCCCCGGCUAACUCCGUGCCAGCAGCCGCCGUAAGAC